rnacentral:rRNA from 1 species
GAUCCUGGCUCAGGAUGAACGCUAGCUACAGGCUUAACACAUGCAAGUCGAGGGGCAGCAUGGCCUUAGCUUGCUAAGGCCGAUGGCGACCGGCGCACGGGUGAGUAACACGUAUCCAACCUGCCGUCUACUCUUGGACAGCCUUCUGAAAGGAAGAUUAAUACAAGAUGGCAUCAUGAGUCCGCAUGUUCACAUGAUUAAAGGUAUUCCGGUAGACGAUGGGGGUGCG